CCUACGGGAGGCAGCAGUGGGGAAUAUUGCGCAAUGGGCGAAAGCCUGACGCAGCGACGCCGCGUGAGGGAUGAAGGUCUUCGGAUCGUAAACCUCUGUCAGCAGGGAAGAACGGUCACUGUGCUAAUCAGCAGUGAAUUGACGGUACCUGCAAAGGAAGCACCGGCUAACUCCGUGCCAGCAGCCGCGGUAAUAUGGAGGGUGCGAGCGUUAAUCGGAAUUACUGGGCGUAAAGCGCUCGUAGGCGGUAUGUCAAGUCAAGGGUGAAAUCCCCGCGCUCAACGUGGGAACUGCCUUUGAAACGGGCAAACUGGAGUGUGUGAGAGGAUAGUGGAAUUCCAGGUGUAGGAGUGAAAGCCGUAGAUAUCUGGAGGAACAUCAGUGGCGAAGGCGACUAUCUGGCACAUAACUGACGCUGAGGAGCGAAAGCGUGGGUAGCAAACAGGAUUAGAUACCCGGGUAGUC
rnacentral:rRNA from 1 species